GGUCGCAAGUUCAAGGCCACAGCAGAAGUAUUCAUGGUGAGGCCCUGUCAGAUUCCAAUGAAUCUGCAAAUUCUGCU
rnacentral:ribozyme from 1 species